UACGUAGGCAGCAAGCGUUGUUCGGAUUUACUGGGCGUAAAGCGUGUGUAGGCGGCUUGGCAAGUUGGAUGUGAAAGCCCACGGCUCAACCGUGGAAGCGCACCCAAAACUGCUUCGCUCCGAGUCUCGGAGAGGAAGGUGGAAUGCUUGGUGUGAGAGGUGAAAUUCGUAGAAUAUCAAGCAGAACACCUGCGGCGAAGGCGGCCUUCGUCGGAGCCGAUGACUGACGCUGAGACACGAAAGCGUGGGGAGCAAACAGG
rnacentral:rRNA from 1 species